CGAUCGCGACUUGUCGUACAGAUUUCUACGAUUCGAAAUUUCGCGUGUUUUCGGCGUUGUGCGACCGCGAGUAAAACGUUCGCUGAUAACGUUUUUGCGGUCGCGGGUUACUGCGACCUGAUUACGCCGUAUGCGGUAAACAAUUUAGUAGAUUUCGAGUGGAGUUCAUUGGAGUCCCGUUUAGAGUUGGAAAGAGGGUUUACCGAUUGUCAGUAUUACAGUUGGACUAGGGUAAAUGAUACACAGGGUGAAUCGUGCGACAAACAAAUUAAUAAUAAUUAUUAAUUUUAAUCAAAUACAAGUAUAAUCAUUGGAGCACAUAUGGGGGUGCCAGGGGGUGCUUAGCAACCCCAGAUUUUGAACUAAACAAAAUAAAUAUAAUACUCAAAUAGCACUCAGAUGUGAGAUAAUUGAUUACCAUUAUACUAUUGUGUAUUGAUUUAUACUAUACAUAAUACAGUCAAAUUCGC